UCUACCCAUAACAUCCCCGCGCCACUCGACGAAGCUUCUCGUCUUUUCCUUCCGUCCGCGUCCUCGCAGUCGUGCCCGCCGGCGUUCAUCUCCUCCCGCGGUCGACCACCCCCCAUCUCGUUCUCUUCUUCUCUCUGUUUCACUCUCCGUAAUUUCUUCAUCUCCAUCGGCAUUCAACUUGGGACCGCCUCCGAAUCUGCCAUAGUAUUUGCCGGCGCCGCUCCUUCUUCAGCCAUCGCCUUCAGAUUCGACCGCGCAUAGCCCACAGCCGCCACUAUCCCUUCUUGUGUUUAAAGUUGACCCUUAUUCUUGAUCGCCACCACUGCCUGCCCCAUCUUUUGGUAAAAACUUUUGUUCGAUUUCAGGCUCUGCUCGCCAGGCUGCUGGCUGUUUGAUGUUAUGAUCGAUUCAUUGCUAAUUUUGAGUUGUGAAAUUCCAUAGGGCCUGCUCGCCACUUCAAAUUGCAAGUGCCGUGGCGAUUUGAGUUUAGUUCAGACGAAUGUUUGAUUGAAUUAAAAUCUGCUGCUGCUGUUUGCUUAACAGGAGCUUUGGCUUUGGCCAUCAAGUGAGUGGUGGAAAUUAAGGCGAUAUCAGAUAAAAGAGGAUGAGUAAUAGCACAGCUGGACCUUCAUCAAAAGCAAAAGUUGGCCAGUCACAACCAUCAGAAGCCUCUUUGAAGCGUAAACGUGGGAUGUUUCAAAAAGAGUUGCAGCACAUGAUGUAUGGCUUUGGAGAUGAUCCAAAUCCACUUCCCGAGACUGUUUCGCUUGUUGAGGAUAUUGUUGUGGAGUAUGUCACAGAUAUGGUCCAUAAAGCUCAAGACGUUGCAACCAAAAGGGGCAAGCUAUUAACAGAGGACUUCCUCUUUCUAAUCCGAAAGGAUUUGCCGAAACUUAACCGCUGCACGGAAUUGCUCUCAAUGAAUGAAGAGCUCAAGCAAGCAAGGAAGGCAUUUGAAGUGGAUGAAGAGAAAUUAGCAUCUGCUGACUAAGAAAUGUUCUCGGUAUCUCAUUAACCUUGUGCGGCUCAUGAAUUUGGUGGCACAAAUUUGUUUGCAGCCAGUUGCUAGUUUGGAAUCAUAAAAACGCAGCAAAAUGCAAGUGCUCUUUGAACUUGAAAAGUUGAAUUUUAAGAUGAAAUAAGCCCUUCCACAAACGAUGAUCUCCAAUAAUUUGAACAAAAUUGCAGAAGAGGAAUGUAGAUAUCUAAAAUUGUUGGCAUGGGUAGAAACCAAAGUGGGAAUUUCCUGCAUGCCUAUUGUAGAAUUUCUUUGAUCUCUUUUUUUGGUCAUUUGUCAAUGAGGUAGGGAAAAGAACCUCAAAUGUGACAUAUAGAUCACCCUUCUUGUUGCUAUAAUGUAAUGCCAUGCCUUCACCUUUGAAUUUCCUCACUUGCUUUGGUACUAUGAUACCCUGAAGAUUAAUGUCAAACAUUAAUACAACUUCAUUUCCUAAAGUGAGGGAUGGAUGCAAGGAGAAAAAUAGACAUCCUUUUAGCUGUGAAUGCUAAAUGUAGUCGAGUGUUUGUUGCUAACCUUGGAGCUGAUAUCCACUGGAUGUUCAUCAAGGUGUUUAAUGCUCUUCUCAAAACAGACAAGAGCUUGAACCUGAAUGUGAA